ACGGGGGAAAGCAGGGGAUCUUCGGACCUUGCGCUAAUAGAUGAGCCUAAGUCGGAUUAGCUAGUUGGUGGGGUAAAGGCCUACCAAGGCGACGAUCUGUAGCGGGUCUGAGAGGAUGAUCCGCCACACUGGGACUGAGACACGGCCCAGACUCCUACGGGAGGCAGCAGUGGGGAAUAUUGGACAAUGGGCGGAAGCCUGAUCCAGCCAUGCCGCGUGUGUAAAGAAGGCCUUUUGGUUGUAAAGCACUUUAAGCGAGGAGGAGGCUACUUAGAUUAAUACUCUAGGUUAGUGGACGUUACUCGCAG
rnacentral:rRNA from 1 species